rnacentral:lncRNA from 10 species
GUCCUCAUCGGCCUCAGGCAGGAGCCACCCCCAUCCCAGAGCCAGACACACAGAAGGGCCUGGCCCCACCCCUCCCGAGCUUAUGGAAAGGGGAGAUUUGGACGUAGAGGUUGGUGCAGGGAGAUGGAGAUGGCCCAGGAGGGAGGCCUGGGGCAGACUCCCCACCCCGACAGCCUCCGAGGAACCAGUGACACCUUGAUCGUGGCUUUGCUGCCUCCGGAACGGUGAGAAAAUACGUCUGCGUGAAUGGCAGCCUGUAAUCAUCCUCACGGCCUCCACAGAAAGGGGGUCCUGCCACAGCUGACACUGGGAACACGCUGCGCCACGGCCUCCGACGCGCUGGCCUCAGGAGGGAAAGGUGUAGAGCAGGUGCAGGGAACGCGCUGGAAGGGGCUGCACAGCCCUGGGGGUCAGGCUGGGCCAGGGCUGGGGGGGUGGCGGGGAUGCCACAGCUGGAAUGCCACA